AAAGAAGGAGGGAGUAUGAAGACGCCCCGAGCAGUGCGGCAUACCUGGAGGCGCUACGAGGGGAGCUGCUGGCGCUGUAGUCCACCCAGGGCGCCAGGAGCGAGAGGGCUCGCCAUCUCCUCAGCGGCGCCAAGCCCGGGCGCAGCGCGGAGGAAGAAAAGAAGACUGCGGCCGCCGCCAUGCCUGUCUCGACGGAAGCACCGCCUCAACCAACGAGGAAAGGGAGGAGCCAGGAUUUAUCACUAAAUGGCAGAUUUAUCACUAAAAACUGUGGAAAAAAAUUCCUCUGUGCAGAGAGGAAGAAGAAAACAGCAGAUCUGAAAUUCUAUAUAUGAAGCGUGCCAAAAUAAUGUCAACCUUAACUGCAAUACUGAGUCCACUGACAGUUGGCAAAUUCCUUUGUGAAGCUGGUGAAAGCUUGAAAAAGAUGCAACAGAUUACUGAGGCUGCUGUUUCUGCUAUGGCACUGGCAAUUUUUUUUUUCAUCAGAUCACUGUCUAGCAUGACACCAGCAUUCGGGAUGAACAUAGUAUUCAGGAUGAACAUAUUACUGUAUUUGAAGAAACCCUGCUUGAGAUCCCAUGAUCUGAUACUUUCAGCACCUGCUGCAGGGUCUGCCUUCUGCAACAACAAAUGCUGUAUGUAACCAGGACCCUAACAGCAGAAUACUGGGAAUUUGUGGAAUGUGAACAGAAGUGAGAGUCACAGUUAUUGCUGAAGCCAGAAGAGAGAGUAAAGAAAAAAAUGCGUUACUGAUGUAUUUAACAGAUGCAUUUUUUUGCACCUUGAACCAACAUCACAACUUCUGAUUUGUGUCUGUGUGUGUGCAAGUUACUAUGUGCCGUGACUCUAUCGAAGUGCGCAUCAUCAGCAUCAGUAAUCUGGACUGUACCUUCUUGUUGUUCUCAUAUAUAAAGUGUGUGAGUGUAUUAGGAUAAUUAGAAAAGUGAGUGCUUGCCCUCUCUGGUUGUGGCUGCCCCAUGGGAAGGUAGCCACCUGGAGGCAGGCAGCCCACACGUUAGUCUUGCCUUGCCCAACUGCUGCCAUCUUUGGAAAUGCACUACUUGGGAAGCCAAAGUUCAGUUUGAAUGUCAUGAAAAGCAUUAGUGAUGGCCUUAGCUACAUCUACUGCUAUGUAGUCAUUAUUGUCAGACAUAAAAUAAGAGCCUCCGGUCACAUCACUUGUUUUAAUAGCUUAUUUUCCCUUAGGAACUGCUCCUGGAUGAUGGUGUCAGGGAAACAGUGUCAAACGGGAGAACAAAUUCCCUUCAACAUAGCUGUCAGCUGCAAUAGAAAGCACAUAUUAAUUUUUUCUGUAGGAGAUGGAAGAGAACUAGGUUGAAGAUGGAAAUUCAUAUUUAUGCUUUUGAAGAUAAAUAUAGACAUCAAAAGACAGGCUCAGAUACACAGUUUUAAGGCACAAACUGAAGAAAUAAAUACCCAGCCAAUUCUCUUUUAAUGAGAGUUUUUAAUCUUAGUUAUUUUGGCAUCCCUUUCUACAGCUAUCAAGACAGUAAAUCAGUGCUCUCAGAGUGCUGAAGUUUAUGGAUAGAUGCAUUUUUUAUUAACUAACAUUUUCUGUCAUGGUCUGACCCUGAAAUGUCUUUUUAAGUGAGUACAGCAUUGGAAGCACUAAUGCAAGUUAGGUAGAUUGUGUCAUUCAGUAACAGUGCAUUGUAUUUCUACAGAGGUCCUAAAUAUUGAGCAUGUUUUUUUUCUCAGCUAUAGCCAUCUUUUUCUAUCACAACUAAAAUUAAUUAAGGUUUUCCUUUUCUUUUUACCCUGUCCUAGUAUUGCACUCUGAAGAACCUUACAGUAGAAACAACAGAAAGUACCUUUUUAUCUGAAAAAGGAAAAUUAUAGCAUUUGGUGUGGGAUUGAAUUUGAAGCAAAGGUUCUGGUAUUUUUUCAAAAAUGUAAAUAAAAUAGGAAUCAUUAACCACAGCAAUAUAAAUUUAUAAUGCCUUUCACAAAUAUUCUUGGAUUGUUUAAAUGCAUGUUUUUGUGGAGAAACAAGGAAGUUAUUUUUAUGUGAUUUUAAAUGGCACAACAGUUUGUGUUAUUACAAAAUCAUUGGUAGAUAGUAAAGACUACUGCUAUUAUUAAUAGUAACAGGUAUUUCUAAAUGGUAACAAGCUCCAAAUUCUGUAAUAUAUUUGACUUUUUUGUUGUUUUUCAUUUUUAGACAAACAAACCAAGUAGUCUAUUUGAAUUAUAAGGAAUGUAAAAUGUGCUGUAAAUUUAAGCAAAUUCUACUGAAACUAGAAUGUUUCCCAGACAAAUUUGUAAUAGGCAGCUAUGUUUGUUCUGCUAUGACUUUUUGUGGUUACUGUAACUGAUUAUAUAACUAUGCACAAAUGAAAAUCAGAUAUCUAGUUGGUGAGUUGGUACUUGACCUCUUUCCUAUGAGUACAACAGAAGGGAACACAACUUUUUGCCUUGGGAAGCUUCUUUUAAGCUUGACUGACAUAUCUUAAUGACAUUUAUAUUAUCUUUUAGGUUAUUCUGAAAUAAUCAUUAAGAAUUAUGAACAUUGUCAAGACUUCUAGCAUGUAGUUUAACUACACAUUACAAAUUAUAUCUGAUAAAAGGAUCUUGCCAUGGAUCUUACAGUAAAGCUUGUUGUGUUAAAAAAAAAGAAUCUGAUAACAUGCUUCAGCAAAACAUAAAACCGCCAUUCUAUGUUACUUUUACUUCAGUAUUAGCACUGCUAGUGAAGACAACAAAAGAUGUCGUUAUGAGUUUAAAAGAAAGUAAAUCUACAUUGAAGUUCCCAGAAAACCCAUAAUAGUUAACUAUUAUCUUCAUUCUUUUCACUUGCCAAGCUGUUCUUCAGCUGUCUUUGGUUUUGAGAGAUCUACUCACUAAAUGACUAAAAUUUUUGGUAAAACACUCAUUUGUAGACAAUCCCAGAAAGUAGCUUAUCUCUAGUUCAUUCACGUAACUAAAAAACCCUGGAAAUUUUAUGAGGUCAGGUCACAAUUUUCAGUGUGGUUUUCAUCUUAAAAAUUCAGAAAAGCCGUUGUUAUCGCUAACAUUAUCUAUAUGAGACUCCUAAGCUUGUAGCAUUUUCUUUAUUGAAAACACAUGUACUGUUCCAAGUCAUCCUGAUAAUGAUGUAGACUCCAAAAUAGCUGUCAUUUGUGCAUUACAGUUGCUAUUCCCAUAUAUCUUCACAAUAUCACCAUCCUCCUUUGCAGGGAAUUAGAAACAUGGCAGCAGUAACGUGCCACUGGUGCCAAGUUCCCAUCGCUUCAUAUCUGGUUUGUUUUUGUUUUGUUGUUUUUACGGCACUAAGUUUCUGUCCAAUACAGAGUUGAAAUUCUCUACCUUUGCGUUGCUGACUUUAUGUUCUAUGGUUUUUCCUUCAGGCAAGGACAGAUUGUUCCUAUCCAAGUUUUGCUUCUGGGGUCUGAAGACGUCUUUCAUUCUGAGCAAACCGUGGAAUGCUGGCAUUUAUGCCUGAGGUGAUCAGCUGAUUGAACUUUAGGAGCAGGGCUGUAAAGGGCUGAAAACCACCUGGGAAAAGCUACAAAGACUGUGGUGGGCUGGGGUUGAGGAAAGACAGGCAAAUUUGCAUUUGGUUGCUGAAUUAAUAUCUGAGGACUCUUCUUUUUAGAAGACACUUCUAUAUGGUGAUGGGUAUUGAUAAACUGGUAUCCAGGGUAUAAGGGAUUUGGGUAUGUCACAUUUAGAGAGCCUGUAUGCUGGCAGCUGUCUAGGUUAAGGAGGAGAAUUACAGAAAGAAAAAUGUUUAAAUGAAUCUCUGAAAGUGUUACUUUUGGGUCUUGUCUCUUGGAGAGGAGGGCAUAGGCGUAAACUCACAAAGAAAUAUCUUGAAAUGUUCUAGUUUAAGUGUAGAAAGAGAAAUGUUCUAUUUUAUAUGAUUGUGUAGCAGUAAAAAUCUGGUUGAAUAUCCUUAUGAUGAGGAGUACACUGUUCCUGUAAAGCAAAAGUUAGUCAAAAUGAAAGUGCAAGUAAAAAUUACAAAAAACUGGUAUGUUACAUGAAAAGAGUUUGACAAGGAAUAAAUAGGGCCUUUAUAAGCAAUCUUUAGAUCCAGAUAAAUGUACUGAAUAAAAUUUGUUUGCUUUUAUUGUAGUUUUAAAAAACUUUAUUAACAUAAUUCUGUUUUCCUUUCUCUACAAACUGGAUGCUUUGGAACUUUUAUUUGGAUUUAAUUAUAGAUGGAAUUUAAAUAUCCUGGACUUCAAUUUCUCCAUUUUUAAGCCAGGGGUGAUAAUAGAUCUUUACCUCCUGUAGAGCAGAGACUCAGUUCCUCACUGUAGAAGGCUCCUAAGUUGUGCUUUGAGAGUGUAGUUCUUAAAGUGCCUGCUGAGUUUUCUGCCAAAAAAAUAUGAAACUCUACUGAACAGCUAAAUAACCUGAGUAUUUUCACUUUAUAAGGAAAUAUGUAAGUGGCGUGAUGAAAGCUUUGUGGUCCGUAUACUUAUUUCUCCUACAUAAAUAGUUGGUCUACUAAAGGUAUUAUCAUUACCAGUAAGUCUAAUAAAUAUAUUGUUAUUACCAAGAAGUCCUGUCUUGCUGACCAAUGGACCUUUGCACCCUUGUGGCUUAGAAUGAAGAACUGGACAGAAGAGGCCCUUUCAAGCCCCAAGUGCUAGUAUUCAAAAUAUCAAAAUAGAUUUUAAAAGAAAUUGCAUUUCUUUUUUUUUUUUAUUUUGACUCUUUAUAUAUGAAUGAAGAAUUAAUAUGUGUAUUCACCAUUUUUAUUUAAUAAUAUUUUUAUUUAGUGUGCCACCAGCCUCACAGGUGAAUAUUUGUGAAUAUUCUUUUUUCCUUGCAGUGAAUCAGUACUUCCCACAUUAUUUCCUACAUCAGGCAUCAGAAAAGGACAUUUCCAUCUGACAUAGGAUCACAAGGGUAAUAAUUUAGAGUGCCAAAACUAAUGCUGUAAUGACUCAGGCUGUUGCAAAUGGGAGCAAGAAGAUUCCACACCCUUUAAGGAUUCUUUACUAUUUCAUUAUAUUCCAGAUCUCCUUUUUUUCUUCAUCCUUCUUUCUUUUCCUUUUAGUCUGGACUUGUCCAGCUGUUUUCCCCUUUGGAUCAUUUUUCCUCUUUCAUCUUCUUGUUCAGCUGUUGUAAGAAACUAUUUGUAACCUCUGUUAGCUGAACUAGAAAGUAACAUGUAGCUGGGAAUUAAAGGUCACACGUGGAAACUGUUGAAGGAGGUAAGAGGCUAUAAUUAACUUACUUGGGGUUUUGAUCUGAAGAUUUGUACAAGGGCUUUUCAUGCAGAAUUAUUGGUGCUUUCAUUCUCAUUAAUUAGGUCCAUUUCCAAAUUCUGAUCUGAUUCCCUCAUGGAUAAGUCACAACCUUUGCAGCAACCACACUAAACCUUUUGAAUGCACAAGUCUUCCAGUGACCACUUACUCCUGUUUUUCACAGAACGAUUGCUCCCAUAAUUCACUUAGAAAGAAUCAUGAAGCAGCUCAUCUUAUUAAAGCCUCAAGGUAUACAAAGAUGGCACAGAGUGCAACACCGAUAAGGAUGUGGCAUCCUAAAUGCAGCUUUAUAAAUUGUGGUUAAGUAAGAUGUGCAGUUCCAGCCACGUGGUUGAUAAAGGAGGAUCAAUACUAACAUGAUCAUCUGGACGGUCAAAGAAAUAGUACUAACAUAAUUAGAUCAUAGCAAAAUAUAAAGGGCCAUGGACAGAUUGUGCUGAAGUAUGUUUCUCAUAAUUGUAAAGAGUGAUAGCCCAGACUCAUGAGAAUGGUUGGAUGACCAAAUCUCAGGCUGGGUGACCCAAGUGCAUGGGAUGUGUGAAUGUCCUUGAGACUGUUCUGUGAAUGAGUGGGAGUGUAACUGAAACAAACAUAACAUGAGUGUGGUGUGUUUUUAAUAACAAUUAUUGGAAAAACAUCUUAUGUAGUCCAGGCCCAUAUCUAUAAAUCCUGUAAAUUGUCAAUGGCUAAUAAAAAGGGUCUCAGCCUGGCUUAGCUCUCUGCUCUGCCUGGCUCUGCGCUCCUUCCUGAACAAGA